rnacentral:misc_RNA from 1 species
AAGGAUCAUUAUUGAAAUAAACCUGAUGGGUUGUUGCUGGUUCUCUAGGGAGCAUGUGCACGCCUUGUCAUCUUUAUAUCUCCACCUGUGCACCUUUUGUAGACCUUCUAGGUCUAUGUUUCUUCAUUUACCCCAAUGUAUGUUAAUAGAAUGUUGUGACUAUAAAAAUAUAUACAACUUUCAGCAACGGAUCUCUUGGCUCUC